CGUGCUGCAUGCCGCGUGCUGCGCCGCGUGCCGUGUACCGCAUCGUGUGCUGCGCCGCGUGCCGUGCCGUGUGUCGCACCGCGUGCCGUGUACCGCAUCGUGUGCUGCGCCGCGUGCCGUGCCGUGCCGCGUGUCGCACCGCGUGCCGUGUACCGCAUUGUGUGCUGCGCCACGUGCCGUGCCGCAUGUUGCACCACGUGCCGUGUACCGCAUCGUGUGCUGCGCCGCGUGCCGUGCCGCGUGUCGCACCACGUGCCGUGUACCGCAUCGUGUGCUGCGCCGUGUGCCGUGCCGCGUGUUGCACCGCGUGCCGUGUACCGCAUCGCGUGCUGCGCCGCGUGUCGCACCGCGUGCUGUAUACCACAUCGCGUGCUGUGCCCCGUGCCGUGCCGCGUGUCGCACCGCGUGCCGUGUACCGCAUCGCGUGCUGUGCCCCGUGCCGUGCUGUGUGUUGCACCGCGUGCCGUGUACCGCAUCGCGUGCUGCGCCGCGUGCCGUGCCGUGCCGUGUGUCGCACCGCGUGCCGUGUACCGCAUCGCGUGCUGCACCGCGUGCCGUGCCAUGCCAUGUGCCAUGCAGCAUGCUGUGCACCGCGUACCGUGCCAGGUGCUGCGUGUGCUGUGUGCUGCAUAGCACGUGCCGCACCGUGUGCCAUGGGUCAUGCACCGCGCCGCGUCAUGCACCGCGUGCUGUGUGCCGCGCCACAUGCCACGUGCUAUGUGCCACGAGUCGCACCAUGCUGUGCCACACGCCGUGCCACGUGCCGCAGUGUGCUGUGCCAUGUAGCGUGCCGUGUGCUGUGUGCCGUGCCACAUGCCGUGCGCCACACUGCUGCGUGCUGCGCUGUGUGCCGUGUCAUGUGCUACGUGCCACGUACCGUGUGCCGUGCUGCGUGCUGCAUCRCGUGCCGCACCGCACUGUGCCACAUGCUGUGCCACAUGCCACGCUGUGCUGUGCCAUGUGGCGUGCUGUGCCGUGUGCCACCCCGCACCAUGUGCCACACGCCAGGUGCCACGUGCCACACCGUAUACCGUGCCGCAUGCCACGUGCUGUGCCGCCUGCUGCGCCGUGCACCGCAUGCCGUGCUGCGUGCUGCCCCACGUGCCGUGCCACGCACCGUGUGCCGCGCCAUGUGCCACAUCGCGUGCUGACCCGUGUCCCCGCAGGCCGGGCACCCCGGGCUACGGCGCCUUCCACGUGGAGCCGGCGCCCUACAAGCCGCGGCGCCCCGACGGCGGCUACGGCGACUCGUACGCGCGGCGGCCCUUCGGGGCGGCCGGCGGGCUCUACCGCGGCGCN
rnacentral:lncRNA from 1 species